CUUUUCCAGCAGCAGCCUGGCAAUCUCUUCCCGCCGCAGUUUCGGGCGUUUCACUCGGAAGGCAUCCCACCACCCAGGGGCACUGAACUCUCGGCAAAGGUGGAAGCCGCAGCAGCUACAAUUCAUUUUCAAUCCUGGAAAAUUAGCCAUGAAUGGUAUCAUUAUGAAGAUGAUAAUCUGCUGGAUGCCUAGAUGAUCAUCUGCCUGGUGAUGUUGGCAUCUCACAGUCUUGGAGAAGCUAUGAAAAAGACAUGCUGUCAUUUGAAAUGCUCCCUGGUGAGAGAGGUGAUUGUUAACUCCACUGAGCAAAAAAGAACCUGAAAAGCAGGAGGGGGAACUGGAUUUUAGCUGGAAGGUAAUUAUAGACAAUAAUUUUACAGUGCCAGUUGGGAGGGAAGACAGCUUUUUGAAAGCCCAAUGCUUCCAUUCUGUGCAAGAAAGCAGUAAAGUGGGGGGCAUAGUAAAUAACCUCAAUUAUAACAUGCUUUCUCCCAAGAUAUUACUUGGCAUGCAGCUUGUUGGCCUCUCCAAAUAUGAGGGCCAUGUCUGUUUCAUUGUUCAUUGGCAUAUGUCAAACAGAGAACAGUGAAGUAAAAU